CAGAGAUCUCUUUGGUGAACUAGGUAAGUCAGUCUGUCUCUCUGUCUCUGUCUCUGUCUCUGUCUCUGUCUCUGUCUCUGUCUCUGUCUCUGUCUCUGUCUCUGUCCCUCCCUCCCUUGUCCUCCUUUCAGGCAGUGGUGACUGGUGCCCAUUGGGACUGGCAUGGUGGAAGGCCUUAGAAGCAAUCUGGUUCCCUCCAAUGCUGCUGGACUCCAGUUCCCAUCAUUCUCCUAACAAGUCUCAGCACUCUUAACAAACUACAGCUCCUAUAAUUAUUUGGGGGAAGCCAGGACUGUUUAAAGUUGUUUCUUGGGGCCUUAAAUGUAUGGUCUGCAUGUGGUCUUGGGAACAAUCUGUUGCCCACCAAUAUUCCUAUUAGCCGCAAGCAUGGCCAAUGUUCAGGGGUGCUGGGCAUUGCCAUCCAGCAACAUCUAGAAGACACCACAUUGGCUACUCCUGGAUUAGUGUGAGAGAGAUGUUGGAUAAUUUCCAUGCUGACUGGUGGGGCAGGAGGCAAGGAGCCCAACAGCAGGGUUGUUGUGAGAAUAAAAUGGGGCAGGGGAGGGUCAUUAAUAUCCAUGCCUUGUGUGGCUCCCAGGACGAAAGAUGGGAUGCAAAUGCAUUCAGAAAUUAACCAAUUAUACAAGAGUAAGCCCAGAUCUGCCUUCUGUUUCCUUCAGGUUCGCUUUGACAAGCGGGAAAGAUGUGCUCCCGUCAGGACAAAGACCAAUGCUACAAGCAGGAGAAAGAGGAAGGGUCCUGCUGUGGUGGCCGGAGGUCUUCCACCAGUGAGGACCGAGGUUCCUGCUGUCUGGGACGGAGAAACAGCGGAGGGUGUCAUGGCAAUCGUGGUUCAUCCGGCUGUCAUGGGAAGCAACAAGAGCAGCAGCAGCAGCAGCAGGUCUUCCAAGUGCCAUCCCAGAAGCUGAAGUAACACCAAGGAGAAUUCCUAGAAGGGCCUAAUUCUGCAAGAAUUAGGUGGAAUCAUUUCAACACCAGUUUCUGAGCACUUGAGACACUCUCAAUAUGUUCUGUCAGCUUUAUGCCUGCAACAAAUUCCACCACCCCAAUACUCCAAAUUCUCAGCUGCCUCU